rnacentral:lncRNA from 1 species
UAAAUAUUUGUGAUUUGCUGUUGAUUGCUGAAUUUGUGUACUCUUAAUUGUUGAAUUUGUGUGCUGUUGAUUGUUGAAUUUGUAUGCUCUUGAUUAUUGAAUUUGAUUCAGCAAAGGUGUCUUGUUAUUGAAUUUGUAUGCUCUUGAUUAUUGAAUUUGAUUCAGCAAAGGUGUCUUGUUAUUGAAUUUGUGUGCUCUUGUUCAUGUAUUUGUUGAGAACCUGGAAUCUAAAGCCAGGAGAUAGCUAUCACAAAUAAAAAAAACACAAGAAAAUUCACAGCUUGCAGAUACUGUAUUUAUAUCUUGUGCUAAAGAAAGAAAAUUCUUUCUUCUCUUUGAAUUGCCAUAAAAAGGAUUGAAAAUCCUAUUCUUUCCGUCAAUAGAUCCCAAAAAAGAAGAAACACUGCUUGCUGAAAAAAAAAGUCAACUUUAAGAAGCUAUGGCCAAUCAAAUUCAUAGCUCCUGGGUAUGCAUCUCGUUAGUUUCUUUUAUGUCAUUGAAGUUUAUUUUAUUAAGUUCUCUAUAUUUUAAUUAGGGAUGUCAGGCGGGCAGCUUUUUACGGGUACCCGAUCCGCCCAAACCCUAUUAGAACGGAUUUGGAUUUUUACAAAACCGAUUUGGGCGGAUUCGGAUUUAAAAAAUUUUACCCGUUUCGGAUUCGGGUAGGGUUCGGAAUUAGGUAAUCGGAUACCCGUUACCCGAACCCGAUUACCUAUAUUAAGAAACUAACCCUAAUUUCCUUUUUCAUUUUACUCUUUCCUCUCUCCGUCGGCUCCUCUCUCCCUUGCGUCCCUUUCCUCUCUUCGUCGACGCCUCUCGCGUUCCUUUCCUCUCGCGCCUCUCUCCCUCGCGUCCCUUUCCUCUCUUCGUCGACGCCUCUCCCCCACUUCACUGACGACUGCCGGGCAGCCCAGUCGGCACCGGCUACGUUUCCUUUCUCUCCCCGAUAAAUCUUCUCUCUCCACAGUGCGAUAUCUCCUUCUCUCUCUCCCGUCGGCGACAUCUCCCACUUCCCAGUCAAGGCCUCUCCCCCACUUCACUGACGAGUGCCGGCAGUCGGCACCGGCGACGUCUCCUUUCUCUCCUCAGUCGACGAUAAAUCUUCUCUCUCCCCGGUCAACGAUAUCUCUUCUCUCUCUCCAGCGGCGGCAUCUCCGACUGGUAAGUGGGAGACAACUCUUCCCUCUCCUUCUACUGCUAUUUCUUGUUGUUGAACAUUUCUCCUUCUACUCCUUCUACUGUUGGGUUUGCUGGGUCUGCUGGGUCUGCUGGGUCUGCUGGGUCUGCUGGGUCUGCUUGGUCUGCUUGGUCUGCUUGGUCUGCUUGGUCUGCUUGGUCUGCUUGGUCUGCUGGGUCUGCUGGGUCUGCUGGGUCUCUUGGGUAUGCAUCUCGUUAGUUUCUUUUAUGUCAUUGAAGUUUAUUUUAUUAAGUUCUCUAUAUUUUAAUUAGGGAUGUCAGGCGGGCGGCUUUUUACGGGUACCGAUCCGCCCAAACCCUAUUAAAACGGAUUUGGGUUUUUACAAAACCGAUUUGGGCGGAUUCAGAUUUAAAAAAUUUUACCCGUUUCGGAUUCGGGUAGGGUUCGGAAUUAGGUAAUCGGAUACCCGUUACCCGAACCCGAUUACCUAUAUUAAGAAACUAACCCUAAUUUCCUUUUUCAUUUUACUAUUUCCUCUCUCCGUCGGCUCCUCUCUCCCUUGCGUCCCUUUCCUCUCUUCGUCGACGCCUCUCGCAUUCCUUUCCUCUCGCGCCUCUCUCCCUCGCGUCCCUUUCCUCUCUUCGUCGACGCCUCUCCCCCACUUCACUGACGACUGCCGGGCAGCCCAGUCAGCACCGGCUACGUCUCCUUUCUCUCCCCGAUAAAUCUUCUCUCUCCAUAGUGCGAUAUCUCCUCUCUCUUCCGUCGGCGACAUCUCCCACUUCCCAGUCAAGCCUCUCUCCCCCACUUCACUGACGAGUGCCGGCAGUCGGCACCGGCGACGUCUCCUUUCUCUCCUCAGUCGACGAUAAAUCUUCUCUCUCCCCGGUCAGCGAUAUCUCUUCUCUCUCUCCAGCGGCGGCAUCUCCGACUGGUAAGUGGGAGACAACUCUUCCCUCUCCUUCUACUGCUAUUUCUUGUCAUUGAACAUUUCUCCUUCUACUCCUUCUAUUGCUGGGUUUGCUGGGUCUGCUGGGUCUGCUGGGUCUGCUUGGUCUGCUUGGUCUGCUUGGUCUGCUUGGUCUGCUGGGUCUGCUGGGUCUGCUGGGUCUUUGAAUUGAUUAUAUUUGAUUAAUGUAAUACUGUUGAUUUUUAGAAUUUAUGAAUAAUUAAUGGUUAUAAAUCAUUAUUUGCUGGAUUGCUGCUGAGUUGCUGGUUUUUGUCAUUGAACAUUUCUCCUUUUACUGCUGGGUUUGCUGGGUUGUGCUGGGUUGUGCAAAUGUUAAGAAGUUUAUUUGCUAGUUUAUUGAAUUUAAAAAAUCGGAUUCGGGUAUUGUGGGGGUAUUGUUAAACGGAUUUGGGACGGGUUCAGAUAAUAAAAUUAAAAUAUUAAAC